UGCUUAACACAUGCAAGUCGAACGUGAAGCCCGACGCUCGCAUUGGGUGGAAAGUGGCGGACGGGUGCGUAACACGUUGGUGACCUACCUCGAGGAGGGGGAUAACCCUGGGAAACCAGGGCUAAUACCCCGGAUGUCAAGGGGUUUAGACGUCCUUGACUAAAGCUCCGGCGCCUUGAGAUGGGCCUGCGGGCUAUCAGCUUGUUGGUGGGGCAAUGGCCUACCAAGGCUAAGACGGCUAGGGGGCGUAGAGAGCGCGACCCCCCACAAUGGGACUGAGACACGGUCCAUACUCCUACGGGAGGCAGCAGUGAGGAAUAUUGCGCAAUGGGGGCAACCCUGACGCAGCAACGCCGCGUGGACGAAGAAAGCCCUCGAGGUUGUAAAGUCCUUUUCUGAGGGGCGAUAAUGACGGUACCUCAGGAAUAAGUCCCGGCUAACUACGUGCCAGCAGCCCGCGGUAAAA
rnacentral:rRNA from 1 species